CGGGUCCUCCGCACCGGAAACGCGCCCCGGCCCCACGUGGUUGCCGGCACGCGCACGCGCGGAACCCUUCUGCUCAAAUCUGCUACCGGGGAGCCCAUUUUACGGAACACCACUUGCCCACGGCUCUUCCGAUUCUGUGACUCGCUUCCUGCUUUCUGGAGCGAAUUGGCUUCCCGCGAGGUGGCGCUCAUACAUUGCGUGAAGUCGACGCGCGCCUGACUCGGAGGUAGACACGCUUUCUUGCUUUAGGUUACUCAACUUUUCCGGUCUGUCAAACAAGAACUUCUUUAUUGAGCACCUACUGUGUGCCUGGCACUGUUCUAGAGCCUGCGGGGGAUAGCAGUAACUCUCCUGGUACUGCUGGUGGCGUUGGGAAUGGAGGCAAACAAUAAAGAAAUGGAUAUGGCAUUAUGUACAUUCUAUUUAAAAAAACGAACAACGGAGCGGACGGUGGGCGGCUGAAGGAUUUAACUGCAUAUUUUAAAAGGUAUUCAUUGGUUGACCCCUGUUUGCGGCCUGACCUGGGAUCGAAUCCACAACCCCGGCUUCUAGGAAGGACACUCUAACCAACUGAACUGCUCAGCCCGGGCUACAGCUAAAAGUAAUCGCAAUGGGCAUAUGGACCAGUCCCUCUCCAGAAAUCCUAGGAAGGGGUUUCUACCUCUGCUUGGAAGCUCCUCAAACAUCAGAUCACUGGCCUUCCACCCAUCCUUUGCUAAAAAACAAUUAAGCAAACUGCUAGUCAAAUGUAUUCAUCUUCAAAAAUAAUAAUGAGUACUGGCCCUAACCGGUUUGGUUCAGUGGAUAGAGUGUCGGCCUGAGGACUGAGGGUCCCGGGUUCGAUU